GACGUGGGGCCUAAACGGGUUACUUUGUGUUCAGACUGCCGCUGCCUUGGUCACGCUGAGAGAAGGGAAGUCUAGAGCACAACCAGACUUGUUAAAUCGAGCUGUUGAUGGCGCUUAAUAGGGUGGAAGGCUUCUCUGUCAAAUGGCACCUCCUGUUCUCUGUUACUGUGGAUAUUUGAAAGGUCCAUUGGAUUUACUCAUAUGUUCAUCACAGACAACAUGCAGCGUGUAGCUACAGCUUUCAAUACCAGUGUUGUCCUGAAUACAGCUGCUGGUAUCGACGCAGCUCUGUCUUUUGAGGCUAAAGCAGUCUGGACUGGUUGAAGCCGAGUGGGAAGGAUUAUUUUGGAAGUGUUUCAGUCUGCCGUGAAUCAUCAUUAUCCAUACACCGCAUAAACGUGCUCUCCACCAUCAGUACAAGGAGAUGAUCAAGGCUGAACAGGAAACACUUCAGCUUUAAUUGUCUGGAGCCUGGUGUUGUUGUGGCCAAGGAGCUUCCACUCAGAUGGAACCAGGUUUCAGCUGCUGUGCAACGUUGACGUCCUUCCUACCAGAGAUGUGAAAAAGUCCCCUGGACUAGACACAACCCGGCAAACAUAUUGAGAAGAUCAGGACUUUUGCAAUUAAAAUAGCAUGGACAUUACAUGUCCUGCACCAAAAGGGCAGGACAGAAAUAUGCUCACAGGCUAGAUUGGUUAAUCUUAUGAUAUGGACAAAGCAAAGUUACUCCAGAGUUUAUGAUAUAGGCCUAGGACUAGAUAGUGUGUUUUAAGUUAUUAUCAAACCAAAGCCAUAAACAGUAGCUAAUCGUUCACAGGGUUGGUGGUGUACAAAACAUCAAACUGGCUGCAGUGGAAGUGCUAGUAACCUUUGCUACCUACCACGU